GUAGAGAUUGCGCUCGGGUUUAAGGGGAUGAUUAGGGCUACUUUUUUCAGAAGAGUAAUGUUGAAGAAAUUGGAUUGAAUCUGUGACUUCGAAUCCAUUUUGCUUCUGGCUUUUUCUUGAGGACGGCUUCGUCGAUUACCUCGUGCAUUGAUAGGAUUGAGGGCACCGCGUUGAAAAUACAUGGUGUUUUAGUCUUAUGAUCAGUGUGAAGAUGCCAUAGCAAGGAAUGUGCAUUAGAGCCACGGUCAAGUACCUUCAUGUUCAUUGAAAUCACAAGACAAUCAGUUUUGAUGAAAAUGCAGAACAUAGUUGACAGGAAAACACACCAAGACACUUACCAAAGAGGGGCAUAGGAAGAUGAGAGAUCCAGAAAUGGAUAUGGCCACCUGUUUUGCAGGGAGAGAUCAUUGUUGUAUCAACAUGAACGGAAUCGAAUUGGAAAGAAAGGAAGAGAGGCAAUGAACUUACCAUAAUCUCACAGAAGCGUGAACGAUCCAUUGAAAGAUUACAUAAACGACCGUCCAGACGAAGAAAUAUCCGAUUCGAAACCAGGGAAAUCGCUGAAAAGUUGUGAUUUAUUAGAACUGAGGCAUGCUAAACAAGAGAAGAGAACCUAAGUGGAGUUGUUUUCUUCACUUACCAAAGAGUUCAAAGCGGUGUCUCCUAGCAAGAAAACGGCAUUGAUUGUGUGCAUAUUUACUAUCAACUGCCAAGAAAAAGAGUCACAUUGGCUCUUUAGAGCAAUGAAGUUGAAAGCCAACAUUUUACGGGUUAUGCACAUUCAUGAGCUCAAUUUGCAGCUGCUAAGCACUUACAAAAUUAAGGUUGUAAUCUUUGAUGGUGAGAAAUGGAACGAUUAUGAACCAAAAGACGCAAUCUGUCAGCAUAACAGCUCCUGCAUUCAUCUUUCAAGAACAGCAAAGGGGACAAAAGUUCAGUAAGGUAAAGAAGAAAAUGGAAAUGGUGAUACUCAAUAAUGCGCCAACCUGGAAGAUAAUCUGAAAGACAUAGCCCCAAAAUCCUGCACGUUGUCGUAUGAGGUGAUGUUCUUCACGAAGGGAUGGAUUUUUCUCUGUAUUUGAAGUAAUUGAACCGUCUCCACUUGUAGAAGUGCCUUGUUCUGCAUCUCCCUCCACAUUAUCCACUCUCUCACCACUAACUUUAUUCUGAUAUUGGUAGCAGCCAUAAACGGAGAGCAGUGAUCCAAGCUAUGAACAGAAAAGUGGAGAUUAUAAGCAAAUAAAGAAGGAAGAAGGAAACCGAGAGGAACAUAUAUGGAAAAAGGGCUCUUUGAAAAUGAUGGACAUACCCCAAAAUAAAUGGUGAUUGACGUAAAAGUCCACCUGUUUCACACAUCACAGCCAUAUUAAAGGAACAGAGUUUUGCACUUUGAAUCUCUUUGAGCUUU